AGUGAACGCUGGCGGUAGGCCUAACACAUGCAAGUCGAACGGCAGCACAGUAAGAGCUUGCUCUUACGGGUGGCGAGUGGCGGACGGGUGAGGAAUACAUCGGAAUCUACUUUUUCGUGGGGGAUAACGUAGGGAAACUUACGCUAAUACCGCAUACGACCUACGGGUGAAAGCAGGGGAACUUCGGACCUUGCGCGAAUGAAUGCGCCGAUGUCGGAUUAGCUAGUUGGCGGGGUAAAGGCCCACCAAGGCGACGAUCCGUAGCUGGUCUGAGAGGAUGAUCAGCCACACUGGAACUGAGACACGGUCCAGACUCCUACGGGAGGCAGCAGUGGGGAAUAUUGGACAAUGGGCGCAAGCCUGAUCCAGCCAUACCGCGUGGGUGAAGAAGGCCUUCGGGUUGGAAAGCCCUUUUGUUGGGAAAGAAAAGCAGCAGGUUAAUACCCCGCUGUUCUGACGGUACCCAAAGAAUAAGCACCGGCUAACUUCGUG
rnacentral:rRNA from 1 species